UGUUACAUGGUAUAUUGUAACACUCGUGGGACAACACAUCUUCACAGCAAGAAUCGAAAGAGGGGGCUACCAGACCCUCCUGCAGAACACAUGUUACGCGUAUGUUAGGAAAAUUCUAGGAUAUUAUUUGCGAUAUAAAGAAGUCCACGGCAAAUUCCCUCGCACCCUUCCCGAUCAAUCGCAAGAAACCUUCGUAUGUCAUUCUGUUUUGAGGUAGACUGGAAUUUACUUUGUGGCGCAAAACGUGAAGGUGAGGUUGUCAGCCAGCAGCCUUCAUCUGGACCAGCUUCCGGCCUUGCUCCAUCUAAGAGAAAUCAUUCCGGUACUGCAUUUCCAUGAGGAUGAGAGUGCAACCCAGUGGUGAUAACGUACUCUGUGGGUUGGGGGAGGGGCCUCCUUAUGCACUGUUACCUUGAAGUGGUGGGACCGUUUGUAUCUUGAAGAGGCCAGACCAAAGGCAGACGAGUACAGAGGAAAUUGGAAACGGGGUCAGAUUGUGAACUGAAUAAAGGACACGACAAACCUCAAUGCUAUUACGAUACUUGGAAGAAUCUUACUGGACUGCAGUCCAUUUACUUUAGUUAAGUUUAUCUUUUUAUCAUCUCUCAUAUAUGCCACAGGCUCCAUACGACUAAUCAUUUAUGUUUAUUGCCCUAAUGACAUCUGGUGAGGAGUACGCAUUAUGAAGUUCUUCAUACGUA